GGAUUAAUACCGCAUACGAUCUGAGGAUGAAAGCGGGGGACCUUCGGGCCUCGCGCGAUUGGAGCGGCCGAUGUCGGAUUAGCUAGUUGGUGGGGUAAAGGCUCACCAAGGCGACGAUCCGUAGCUGGUCUGAGAGGAUGAUCAGCCACACUGGAACUGAGACACGGUCCAGACUCCUACGGGAGGCAGCAGUGGGGAAUUUUGGACAAUGGGGGCAACCCUGAUCCAGCCAUGCCGCGUGCGGGAAGAAGGCCUUCGGGUUGUAAACCGCUUUCGGCCGGAACGAAAUCGGGCGGGUGAAUAAUCCGCCUGGAUGACGGUACCGGAAGAAGAAGCACCGGCUAACUACGUGCC
rnacentral:rRNA from 1 species